UGGGGAAUAUUGCACAAUGGGCGCAAGCCUGAUGCAGCCAUGCCGCGUGUAUGAAGAAGGCCUUCGGGUUGUAAAGUACUUUCAGCGGGGAGGAAGGCGAUGUGGUUAAUAACCGCGUCGAUUGACGUUACCCGCAGAAGAAGCACCGGCUAACUCCGUGCCAGCAGCCGCGGUAAUACGGAGGGUGCAAGCGUUAAUCGGAAUUACUGGGCGUAAAGCGCACGCAGGCGGUCUGUCAAGUCGGAUGUGAAAUCCCCGGGCUCAACCUGGGAACUGCAUCCGAAACUGGCAGGCUUGAGUCUCGUAGAGGGGGUAGAAUUCCAGGUGUAGCGGUGAAAUGCGUAGAGAUCUGGAGGAAUACCGGUGGCGAAGGCGGCCCCCUGGACGAAGACUGACGCUCAGGUGCGAAAGCGUGGGGAGCAAACA
rnacentral:rRNA from 1 species